GGAAGUAAAAGUCGUAAUAAGGUUUCCGUAGGUGAACCUGCGGAAGGAUCAUUAAUGAAAUGAAUGUCGAGAAGGGUUGUAGCUGGCCUCUUGAGGCAUGUGCACACCUUGAUCGCACAUCCACAUCUCACACCUGUGCACAACCUGUAGCUUGGGAUGAUUACAAUGCUGGGAACAGUGUUGAAAGCCCUUGCUAUGAAAUUUUACACACACAUAUUAAAAGUUAUAGAAUGUUAUAUAGCGUGUAACAGCGCAAAUAAAUAUACAACUUUCAGCAACGGAUCUCUUGGCUCUC
rnacentral:misc_RNA from 1 species